rnacentral:rRNA from 1 species
AAGUUCCGGCGUCUUGAGAUGAGCCUGCGGCUGAUUAGCUAGUUGGUGGGGUAAAGGCCUACCAAGGCGACGAUCAGUAGCUGGUCUGAGAGGAUGACCAGCCACAAUGGGACUGAGACACGGCCCAUACUCCUACGGGAGGCAGCAGUAGGGAAUAUUGCGCAAUGGGCGAAAGCCUGACGCAGCAACACCGCGUGAGGGAUGAAGCUUCUUGGAGUGUAAACCUCUGUCAGUGGGGACGAAAUUUGACUGUACCCACAGAGGAAGCAUCGGCUAACUACGUGCCAGCAGCCGCGGUAAGACGUAGGAUGCAAGCGUUGUCCGGAUUUAUUGGGCGUAAAGAGUUCGUAGGUGGUUUAUCAAGUCUGGUGUUAAAGCCCGAGGCUCAACCUCGGUUCGGCACUGGAUACUGGUAGACUAGAGUACAGGAGAGGCAAGGGGAAUUCCCAGUGUAGCGGUGAAAUGCGUAGAUAUUGGGAGGAACACCGGUGGCGUAAGCGCCUUGCUGGACUGUUACUGACGCUGAGGAACGAAAGCCAGGGGAGCAAAUGGGAUUAGAUACCCCAGUAGUCCUGGCCGUAAACGAUGGAUACUAGGUGUUAUGGGUAUCGACCCCCGUAGUGCCGUAGCUAACGCGUUAAGUAUCCCGCCUGGGGAGUACGCACGCAAGUGUGAAACUCAAAGGAAUUGACGGGGGCCCGCACAAGCGGUGGAACAUGUGGUUUAAUUCGAAGCAACGCGAAGAACCUUACCAGGACUUGACAUCCAAGGAAUCCUGCGGAAACGCGGGAGUGCCUUUCGGGGAACCUUGAGACAGGUGGUGCAUGGUUGUCGUCAGCUCGUGUCGUGAGAUGUUGGGUUAAGUCCCGCAACGAGCGCAACCCUCGUUGUUAGUUGCUGGCAAAAGCAUGCUUUUGUCGAGCUCUCUAGCGAGACUGCCGGUGAUAAACCGGAGGAAGGUGGGGAUGACGUCAAAUCAUCAUGCCCCUUAUGUUCUGGGCUACACACGUGUUACAAUGGGUAGGACAACGAGCAGCCAGCUGGCAACAGUGAGCGAAUCUCAUAAACCUAUCCCCAGUUCGGAUCGAAGUCUGCAACUCGACUUCGUGAAGUCGGAAUCGCUAGUAACCGCAGAUCAGCACGCUGCGGUGAAUACGUUCCCGGGCCUUGUACACACCGCCCG